GGUCGAGGAUAAGGUAAAUAUUGACGAAUGGAUCAUCGCAUGAAAAAUGUCAGACUGCUCGCUUAGAUAAUAAACAUAACAAUAAUCAUUCUUUAUUUUCUAUGUAAUAAAUAGUGGUCCAAACCGUUUAUAAAUACUGACGAUGAAAACCAUACACAAUACGAAUGAAACAAUAUUAAUUGUUCCCGCACGUCGAUUAUACAAUAUUAUUAUAUCAAUUAUAAUAACAAUAUAUUUAUCAUUUUAGGGAUUCGGUAGAUUUCGACUAUGGUAUUCACUAUUCUGUGAUCGCCAACUAUGAUAUGUUGUUCUUGUUAUUACUUAUUGGUUUGCGUUGUCUGUCAUCGGUUAGUCAACAGUUUUGUGUAUUCUGACAUUUAUUACAAUCGUUAUUACGAUUUACAAGCAAUCUUGGUUAGUAAAAAAUAAUAUAUUUAUUUUUUUUUUAUAAAUACCGUUACAAUUGCAACAAAUAUCACGAAGAUUGUAAUGAUUGGUGCCCGAUCUCAACUAACUUGUAUGAUUAGCAGGUGUUUGCUAUAGUACUAAAAUCGUAAUACAUGACAAUGUGUAUAUGACCAAGUGGUACAUGUUAUAUUUCUGAAUAAUAUGAUAGUAUGUAAUAUGUGGUUAUACAUUAAUUUGAUAAGAUGUUUAGAAAAAAAAUUGGAUAAAUUUGAAUAAUGUUAAUUGAAACAUAACGAAUUUAAUUUUGCACCCUAUAAUCUAUAAGAGUCACUUUUUUUUUUUUUUUAAAUCAGUAUUUUCAUUGGUAACCAGUACAAUCGAUACAAAAUAUUCACUGAUUCUGUUGUUAUGAGCUACCAUGUAAAGCCUAACCAUGUAUAAAUAGAAAAAGAUGUGUAACACAAUAUUAUAUGUAUUGCAAUAAUGAAUUAGGUCAAACGAACAAGGCCUAUCGCUGGAUAUUACCAAAACAACAAAUCCUAUGAUAUCAAUGGAGCAAUAUAAAAGGAUGAUGAAAACAAACACAAAUCAGAUGAGUUCUAGUUACGGAACUAAAAGCAACGUCACAUCACUCAGUAUCAGAAUUUUUUUAAAUACAUUGAAUUAUAAAAUGACGUAUUGAAAGUAUUAAAAAGUUAAUGUCUAAUUAAUUAAAAUUAAAUACAUCUUCGACUGUACAAUUUGAAAUCGAGCCGGUGGCACGUAUCACUGUUAUAACUUUGAUAUGCCAAUAAACAUCCAAUAUAUUUGACUACUGAUUAGUCAUUAGAUUUUUAUGUCUGUUGUAUAUAUAUUGUAUAAAACUGUAUCAAAGAUGAUUCGAAGCUCCAAAGAAUCAGGGAUAGAAAAAGGCUAGUAUUGGAUAAAAAAGUAUGGGGCUGUACAGUGAAAGCAACAAUGUAUUUAAAUGAACUUCAAAUGAGUUAAUAAUAAUAAUAAUUAUUUUAGGUAUAACGUUAUCAUUGUUAGUUGAUAACAAUAAUCUAAACACAAGUAUGCAAAGAAUAAUUUCACUUUUUUGUGAUGAUACUUUGCUUUUCAAUUACUCUUUAAUUUGAUUUAAAUAUGAUAAGACAUUUAGAAAUCUGACUGGUUAACAUGUACUUGUUGGUAUGGAUAUUAUAAAUUUGAACAUAAUAUAUUAUUAUUACAACUCUCCUUACCUCAUAUACCUACAUCCAUACAACAUCCUUGUAAUUAAUAAAAUUAAAAUAUAAGCAGUAUAUAGUUCAUUUUUUUUG